GAUCGUUUAAUAUUGUGAUAUUUUGUGAACGAAACUUACCUUUGGAUACCAGUUACGCAAUUACGAUUUGUGCAAAAUGAAAUCAACAUCAUGGAAUAUUAACUCGAACUUUUAUGCUAAAUCAUUAUGGAUGUCGUCAAUUUGGAUCACGUCAGGUGAGUUACAGUUCCAUAUUAAACGAUUAAUUAAUAUUUAUACGCUUUAUACUGAUAUCAUUCUAUUAUUACAAACAAUGGACAAACUGAUAAAAAUUCAUGAAAUUUG